rnacentral:lncRNA from 1 species
CUGUUUAUCUGUUCCUAGAGAUGCUAGAAUUCUGGAGAAUUUUAUCUUUGAAAAUCUUUAAAAUGUUGCAUGAUGAGUUCCUGUAUGAUGAGAGUUUAAAUCCUACCAUAGCCAUAUAUACAUGCUUGCUAGACUUUGAGCCACACAUUUACUUUUUACUGCUUAUGAGCAUUGAGUGUGGUCAAGCUGUGUAGACCCUUAGGAGUUUGUCAUGUGGUUAAAUCAAGAUUCACUUGCACGUUCAUUCAUACAUGCUGCUUCUACUCCGGGAGUACGCAUCCACAUAUAUCUACCCAUUUCCAUCUCCAGAACUACCCAAAAAUAUUCUACUCCUAACUCGGGAGAGAAUAGCCAAAAAUAUUUCUGUUUUCCCCUGUGAAAUAAAUGCUCAAGUUAUCUUGGUUACUACCACUUGCUACAUUAUUUCAAGAGAUGAGUACUCAAAAAAAGAGAGAAAAAGAUACGAGGAAAUAAAAAGGGGCAAGUGCCCGAAACCUCGAAAGAAAAGAAAAAGUGAGACGAGAGGUAAAAAUGGACAAGUGUCCGACAGUAGAAUUAGGGGUACAAGAUACCCACCUGAGAGAAAAGAAAAAUAAAAUAUAGAGCAUCUCAUUCUCCUCAAAAAGUUUCAAAGAGCAAGAAAGGUAUGUAUCCCCUCAAAAGAGCAAAAGUAGAAUUAGACUUUCACCAUUGUUAUCACCAUCAUCAUCAUACACCAUUCAUUCGCCACAUAUGCACAUAUUGAUUUGACUUAUUGACUUGUUCUUCUGGAUCCAUGGUUUGACUAUGCAAUAAAUGUCUUGUAAGUAUGUAUUAGCUGUCUCCCACCUAUGAGCUCCAGAUAUCAAAACCUUAUUAGAGUAGGAUGAGAGAGAAGGCAAUGCCACUAUGCCUCAUACCAAAAAUACCACAUACUUUGAGAGAAGACAUACACCAUUACUGCCUUGGUAAGGAUCCAGAAAUACCACAAAAGAGAGACUAGAGAGAGUCAUACAAGGAAUCUCUGAGUUUUAUUUGAAAAUCUACAAAAACUCCAGAGCUAUAGUUAAUCGAAGAACAAGAGACAUGGCGCUUGACUAGACCGUUCUAUCUUUUAACUGCUCAAGACAUAAGUGACGGUUGCAAGCCCCAUGGUGGAAGGUAAAAUGAGUAAGUUUAAAUCUUAACAGUUUACCCUAACCCAGAGAUGAGAUCUUGUUUGAACGCAUGUGUACCUUUAAGGCAUGAAACCAC